CCUACGGGAGGCAGCAGUGAGGAAUAUUGGUCAAUGGGCGCGAGCCUGAACCAGCCAAGUCGCGUGAGGGAAGACGGUCCUAUGGAUUGUAAACCUCUUUUAUAUGGGAAUAAAACAGGGUAUGCAUACCCUCUUGUAUGUACCAUAUGAAUAAGGAUCGGCUAACUCCGUGCCAGCAGCCGCGGUAAUACGGAGGAUCCGAGCGUUAUCCGGAUUUAUUGGGUUUAAAGGGAGCGUAGGUGGAUUGUUAAGUCAGUUGUGAAAGUUUGCGGCUCAACCGUAAAAUUGCAGUUGAAACUGGCAGUCUUGAGUACAGUAGAGGUGGGCGGAAUUCGUGGUGUAGCGGUGAAAUGCUUAGAUAUCACGAAGAACUCCGAUUGCGAAGGCAGCUCACUGGACUGCAACUGACACUGAUGCUCGAAAGUGUGGGUAUCAAACAGGAUUAGAUACCCGAGUAGUC
rnacentral:rRNA from 1 species